UGUUUCGGCUAGGGGGUCAUCCCGACUUACCAACCCGAUGCAAACUACGAAUACCGAAGAAUGUUAUCACGGGAGACACACGGCGGGUGCUAACGUCCGUCGUGAAGAGGGAAACAACCCAGACCGCCAGCUAAGGUCCCAAAGUCAUGGUUAAGUGGGAAACGAUGUGGGAAGGCACAGACAGCCAGGAUGUUGGCUUAGAAGCAGCCAUCAUUUAAAGAAAGCGUAAUAGCUCACUGGUCGAGUCGGCCUGCGCGGAAGAUGUAACGGGGCUAAACCAUGCACCGAAGCUGCGGCAGCGACACUAUGUGU
rnacentral:rRNA from 1 species